rnacentral:rRNA from 1 species
UACGUAGGGAGCAAGCGUUGUCCGGAAUCAUUGGGCGUAAAGCGCGCGUAGGUGGCCUCGUAAGUCCGCUGUGAAAGUCAAAGGCUCAACCUUUGAAAGCCGAUGGAUACUGUGAGGCUAGAGUCCGGAAGAGGCGAGUGGAAUUCCUGGUGUAGCGGUGGAAUGCGCAGAUAUCAGGAGGAACACCAAUAGCGAAGGCAGCUCGCUGGGACGGUACUGACGCUAAGGCGCGAAAGCGUGGGGAGCGAACAGG